UACGUGGGGGCAAGCGUUGUCCGGAAUUAUUGGGCGUAAAGAGCAGUGUAGGCGGUCCGGUAAGUCAGCUGUGAAAGUCAAGGGCUCAACCCUUGAAAGCCGGUUGAUACUGUCGGGCUAGAGUCCGGAAGAGGCGAGUGGAAUUCCCGGUGUAGCGGUGAAAUGCGCAGAUAUCGGGAGGAAUACCGGUGGCGAAAGCGACUCUCUGGACGGCAACUGACGCUGAGGCACGAAAGCGUGGGGAGCAAACAGGG
rnacentral:rRNA from 1 species